CCUAGUGUCAGCGUGUUAUUGGGGAUAGGUAUGUGGGGUGGUUGUUGUCCAAGGUUCCGAAUGCCCAUAUGGCGACUAUACACCAGUCAUGUUUAUUCUGUUAUUAUUGCUGGCCACUAUCAUCCCAAAAGUUGAAAGGAGCAGAUAAUCCACUGAUCUAUCCAUCAUAAGAAACCUUUCAUAGCAUCCCAUUAUAACAUCACUUCUAAGAUAAACCGUCUACCACUCUCUUAUUACAUCUAGA